CCUAAAAUCACAGCCAAUAUUGGGCUUUAUCUGACAAAAGCAAUUAUAUCUCACAGACAAGAAAUUGGAGAAAUGCAAGAUCGGCUACAGAAGGCAGAGCUCAACUUCAAACUCAAGGUCGCAGCUCAUGAGAGAAGUGCUCUAGAUAAUUGGGUGAAGGCUCGGUUUUG